rnacentral:rRNA from 1 species
AUUGAACGCUGGCCGCAGGCCUAACACAUGCAAGUCGAGCGGAUGAAGGGAGCUUGCUCCUGGAUUCAGCGGCGGACGGGUGAGUAAUGCCUAGGAAUCUGCCUGGUAGUGGGGGAUAACGUCCGGGAACGGGCGCUAAUACCGCAUACGUCCUGAGGGAGAAAGUGGGGGAUCUUCGGACCUCACGCUAUCAGAUGAGCCUAGGUCGGAUUAGCUAGUUGGUGGGGUAAAGGCCUACCAAGGCGACGAUCCGUAACUGGUCUGAGAGGAUGAUCAGUCACACUGGAACUGAGACACGGUCCAGACUCCUACGGGAGGCAGCAGUGGGGAAUAUUGGACAAUGGGCGAAAGCCUGAUCCAGCCAUGCCGCGUGUGUGAAGAAGGUCUUCGGAUUGUAAAGCACUUUAAGUUGGGAGGAAGGGAAGUAAGUUAAUACCUUGCUGUUUUGACGUUACCAACAGAAUAAGCACCGGCUAACUUCGUG